rnacentral:lncRNA from 1 species
CCUCCUGCCACAGUCCAGGGUAGGAGAUACUUCUCCAGGCUCUCACUUAUGGGGGCUUUCCUGCUGGCUACAUCACUGAAAUGGAAUCUCCUAGUGGCCCUUCUCCCUCUACAGCUCUGGUGUUACACUGAAAAACUAGAAGUUUCAAAACAGACAAGGGAAAAAGAGAAACAUCAGAAAGUCUGAUUAAAGUAGAAGCAUCAUAUUUCUAUCAACGUAUCCACUGUGCUUGGCAGGGGAUGGGCCCUUCUGCUGCAGCAUAAGAGGGGUCAUUCAAUGGCCUGUGUCAGCUACUGGGAUGGACCUGCUGUCCAUGGGAUACUGACACCCACUAGUGAAGCAGAUCUUGCUCUGUCUCUUCUCUGUGUGAGUAAAGUUCUGUUCCAUCCAGU